CACACGUCUUUGCUUUCAUUCUCUGUUAAACUGUUUGGCAUAGCAAUCUUAGUGAAUAGAUUGGCAAUCUGUUCAUAUGACACUUAACUUCCAGUGCGCUAAAUAUCAAAACCAGAAAGUUUCAACCGUCGACCAGUAAAAGACCAAUCAAACAAAGUUACCAAUCAAAACAACAACAAUUUGCUUACCAAAGACAAAUCACUGUCGUUUCAAACAAGGUCCAUAGAAACCAUGUUUUAUGCUACAAACCCUUUGUCUGACAUCAUUGAGAAAUGGCAAACUUGUGAUUCAAAUAUGGACAACUUCAUGUAAAGUUUAAGUCAUGUUGAUAUAUCAUGUUGAAUUUUUGUACAAAUGGAAUCAAGAGGAACAAGAAAUCUGUCUUACAUUCAGAAAAUAAUUAAUGUGGUACAAACGGAACUUGCUCAAUUUUUCAUCAAAGAAUGGAACUCUCGUUACAAAUCAAUACAUGGAGAAUGGGAUGAUACACACAACAGUGGUAACAAAUUUUACAAAUUAGAAUCGCGACGAAAAUUAGACCAAAAAACACGACAAAAAUAUCAGGAUGGAGACACCAGUAAGUGGGACUGUACGAUAUUAUUUGAUGCUAUAAUUUUUUCAAAUUCAAUUGGAAAGCAUCUUAACAAAAAAACAAAGGAUGCUGUUCAUGCACUUCGUUGUGAAAGAAACAAAUACGCACA